AUGGGGGGACUCGCACCCAUUGCUCCCAGACACCGGCGCCAGGGAGCCCCACGACCCCUGCGCGCAACCUCCAGCCCACGUCCACCGGCCGAGUCGCCCGCGGGGGCCAUCCCACAUCUCCGCCGAGCGGGGUUCCCUGUGAGCCAGCUCCUCCGGGGCCAAAGGCGGCGCUCGGGACCACAGGGUGCGAAGAGACCGGCUCAGCUCCUGGAGUCCCAAUUCCAGUUUGAGCGAACUGGGGAGGGCAUCUCCGGCAUCGCUGAUGGCACGGAUGUUCAAGGAGCCCCUGGUACCAGUGCUGGGCUUGCGAUGUUUGAACCUGCUGAAAACUACAGCAGCUGAAGGUUGUUGGUUCCCGCUUUCCUUCCAUCGCUGAAUUCCCUGUUCUUUGCAUUCUACUGAGAUUCUAUUAGAUGACGGGAGAGAAGCACGCAGAAAUCCUGGGACUUUUUCCUCAAGGGAAAAGGUAUUAAACACAGCACCUGGGUAUUUCUCCAAGUGUCAUAAACUGGGCUGCUGAGGCCUGUGGGCGUGGCGGGCUUGACUUUCCACGGGAGCCUUCCGGCGGCUCCCUAAGCUUGCCUCAUGGAGGUGGUAGCAAGUUUUUGACUUAGAGUCGUGUUUAGCAUUUGUGUGUCUGACUCUGGGCAGAGGACUGGCCAGGGCUGCCACAAAGGGCUGUCCACUGAGCAGAAGGAAAGGGUUUGAGAAGGAAGAUGACGCACAGGGCUCUGAAGAUUCAAUUUCCUGUCCGUCUGUGAAUGGCUCAAGCGUAUGGGGACUGGGUGCAAAAGAGUGUCCUUAGACGCAGAGACUGGCAUUAAUCACUGUAAGAGUCUCAUGCUGUGAGUAGCACAGACAUUACAGCACACAUGGAAGAAGCCAGGCUCCUCCUCUCUGACUUGCGGUAAUGUUAACAGGUGACACGGACCUCUGCCAAGCAACAAAAUUCAAAGCCAUUAAACUAGGCAUUUCCAUACAACAAGAGAAAGACAUAUUUGAAAAGCAAUGAAACCACCUAAAUGGGAUGCGCACUGGGGCGUGACUGCUCUCGCAUCUCACACCCCCUUCCAGGCCACAUCCAUCUGGGCCGUCCCGUGUAUUGGAAGCAGCACUGGGAGUGAGUGAAUUUUGUUUGUUUCCACUGAGCUGAUGACUUUUAUUCUCCUUUAUGCACUACCUAAGUA
rnacentral:lncRNA from 1 species